rnacentral:rRNA from 1 species
GACAGAGGCCCCAAGCGUUAGGCGGAAUCACUGGGCUUAAAGCGUGUGUAGGCGGACGCCUAAGUGUCUUGUGAAAUCCCACGGCUCACCCGUGGAACUGCUGGGCAUACUGGGCGUCUUGGGCCAACUAGGGGCAGCCGGAACAAGCGGUGGAGCGGUGAAAUGCGUAGAUAUCGCUUGGAACGCCGAAGGUGAAAACAGGCUGCUGGGGUUGCGCCGACGCUGAGACACGAAAGCCAGGGGAGCAAAACGG